rnacentral:tRNA from 1 species
GGAGAAGUGGUUGAGUGGUUUAAAGCACAACCUUGGAAAGGUUGGUUAGGGUUUACUCUAACAAGGGUUCGAAUCCCUUCUUCUCCU